CUUCUGUGCACUCCAGGGGUGCGCCUGGUGAGUGGCUUCUGUAGUCCCUCUGGGGGUGUCCUAGCGUUAGUUUGUGAACCCCUCUUUAGGACUGGUCCAGCCAAUGAAAACAGGGAUCUGACCGGGCACACCUUUCAAAGAGACCUGGAGCCAGCGUUAACGGAAUGCUUGGAGGGGGUCCUCUAAAGUCCAAGGUGCUGUCUGGAUGUUAGGCUGGGGGCAGUGACCUGGUGUGAAGGUUGCAGGUGGGCCUCUAUUUAGAUGGAACCCAAGAGCGGAAGAGGGUUCUGCUGCUGAGAAAACGUUUGGUGAACUUCACUACCCACUCCUGAUUCACUGAACAUGGUCACGGAUAUUCCUUUCAUGGGAUAAAGAAAAUAGUGGCAGACUUGGCAAGGUGGAUAUGACACCAGGAGUUGUGGCAGUCAUGUUGUAACACUGAGGCAGAACACAUGAAAAAGAGGCAAAGUCCUUAUGGAGACAGGGCUUGACAUGGCUGAGCUGUUGAACCUAGGCCAGCAGCUGUCAACUCACAGGCCUCUUGUAAUCUGAGGUAAAACCAAGCUUUAUUUGUCUAAGCUGUUGUGUUUGGAAUUUCUGCAGCUGAAAGCACUGCUGGCUAAUGCACACCACUAUGACAAAG